rnacentral:sRNA from 1 species
GCUGGGCGCUGUGGGGCACGCCUGUAAUCCCAGCAGCUCAGGAGGCUGAGACACGGGGACCACAAGUUCAAAGCCAGCCUCAGCAAUUUAGCAAGGACCUAAGCAACUUAGUGAGACCCUGUCUCUA